CCCACUGGGUUCCCCUCGCCCGCGAAACCCUUGUUCGGCCGGUCGCAGAACCUGCCCAGGGGCGUCGACAGAACCCUGUGGCCGGAACAAACUCGGUACUUGGACGGAGCGAGUGGGGUGCGGGUGUCCCCGCGGGUCCCAGCUCCGGGGGACUCGGUGCUAGGAGCCUGCUGAAACGCACUGCCCGUCCCUCUUAGACUCGGGUCAGUCGAGGAACGGCCGGGGAAGGGCGGGCGGCCCCCCGGCGGCUCGGCCGGGCUCCGUCUAGCGUCGGAUCCUCCGAACACGUCACGGGCCGGGCCGGCUCAGGAGGCAGGUGGUCGCUGGGGCGGGACAGUCCAGACGCCCGCGCCCUCCCGGCAAACAGCCGCGGAGCAGAGCGUUUCGCCCCCGAGAGCGCCACCCGCGUCCGCGCCGGCGCGUUUACGACAGUGUCCGCCUCGCAGGCCCGCUUUCCGGCACCGCGGGCUGACGCGUCUCCGUUUCCGACGGCGGAGCGCAGGCGGCCCGCGGCGUGAAUGGGCCUCCGGUGGGGGCGGUGGUUCGAGUCCCGAUGCGGGAAUGAGCCUCUUUGACCUCUUUCGCGGCUUUUUCGGCUUUUCCGGACCUCGGAGCCGCAGAGAUCCCUUUUUUGGAGGGAUGACUCGAGAUGAAGAUGAGGACGACGAGGAAGAAGAAGGAGCCUCGUGGGGCCCUGGGAGCGCGAGGUUUGAGGAGGGUCCCCAGUCCCCGGAGGAGUUUGCCUUUGGCUUCAGCUUCAGCCCGGGAGGAGGGAUGCGUUUCCAUGACAACUUCGGCUUCGAUGACCUCUUCCGGGACUUCAACAGCAUCUUCAGCGAGAUGGGAGCCUGGACCUUGCCUUCCCGGCCCCCUGAACUCCCCGGUCUUGAGUCAGAGACACCUGGUGAGAGACGGCAGGAGGGACAGACCCUUCGGGACUCGAUGCUGAAGUAUCCAGAUAGUCACCAGCCCAGGAUCUUUGGAGGGGUGUCGGAGAGUGAUACACAAAGUGACUCCCCGAAACCAGCACCAGACUGGGGCUCCCAGAGACCUUUUCGUAAGUUGGACGAUAUGUGGCCUUUGACCCCCCACUCUAGAGCCAGAGAGGACAAGGAUCUUGAUUCCCAGGUUUCCCAGGAGGGCCUCGGCCCGGUUCUGCAGCCCCAGCCCAAAUCCUACUUCAAGAGCGUCUCUGUGACCAAGAUCACCAGGCCGGACGGGAUGGUAGAGGAGCGCCGGACCGUGGUGGACAGCGAGGGCCGGACAGAGACCACAGUCACCCGUCAGGGGGCAGACGGCAGUCCCAGAGACGAUCCAGAGUCACCAGCAGCUCCAGCCCUGGACGAUGACGCCUCGUCCGUCCUGGACUUGUUCCUUGGCCGUUGGUUCCGGUCCCGGUAGUCCUGUUGACCCUCAGAGGCCUUCUGGUUCUGUCCACCUCGCACCCUUUGCUCGGCGUCGACGGGCUUAGCUUCUCCUGCCACCUCAGGGCCUUGGGUGUGUGGAAAAGUGAAUCGUGGAUGGAGAAGCCAGAGAUUAUCAGACAUCUGUGGACAGCCUCCAUCAUGAAGGAUGGACACAAACCAAAGAGAAGCACCUUGGAAGAAACAGACUGUGCAGAAAGAUGAAAAUUUAGCAAGGACACAAGUCUUUACUGUCCUUUGAAAUGUGAGAUGACGUAUUCAUAAAACCAGAACAGAAUGCUACAAAAGAGGAGUAAACAAAACAAAUUUUGGGGAGUCAAAAAAAAAAAAAAAACUAGAAUGAUAUAAAUCAUCCACGAAAUAAGGAAAUAUCUCAGAAGUAAAGGAUUAUCACUUUCUAACCCGAAAGGACCCACCGCACGCUAGACACCAAGGAUGAAAAUAAACCCACUCCAAGGCUCAGCGUGUGAAACUGCAGAAGGCUCGAGACAGGAGAAGCCUGAAGGUGAGUGGGAAGCGAGGUCACGUACAGAGGGUCAGGGAACGAAUGUUCUCUAACUUUUAACAGCAACACCGGAAUUAAAAGACAGUGGAGCAUUAACAGCAACACCGGAAUUAGAAGACAGUGGAGCAUGGCUUUUAAAAUACCGAAGGAAAAUUAUUUCCAAGCUAGGAUGUAUAUACCCAAGAAAACGAUGCAUUAAAUGUGAGAGCAUAAUAUUUAGACAUGAAAGGUGUAUCAGCAAAAACCUAUACCAAACAUUGAAUGACGAAAGACAUGCUUUUUCCAACUGUGAUCAGGAAGGAAACCCAGAUAGCUGCUCUUACCACACGAUUCCAACAUUGUCCUGGAGGUUCUAGCUGGUGCGUGACGCCAGAAAUUUCGUUCAGUGGAAGAUGUGGAAUGGAGAGGAAAUAAAGCUAUUUACAGACGCCGUGACCUUGUGUGUAGAAAAAAAUUCUAAGACGUCAACAACGACAAAUUACUAGUAGUAACAGUACAGCAAGGUUUCAGGAUACAAGAUCAACGUAUAUAAGAUCAAAAAGAUUUCUGUAUAUUCACAGCAAUCCGAAUAUGAAAUUAAAGGAACAAUUCCAUUCAUAAUGUGAUAAGGAAUAAAAUAAAAUUUUGUUUGAGUUUGA